UUGACCUCAAAUCAGGUAGGACUACCCGCUGAACUUAAGCAUAUCAAUAAGCGGAGGAAAAGAAACUAACAAGGAUUCCCCUAGUAACUGCGAGUGAAGCGGGAAAAGCUCAAAUUUAAAAUCUGGUGGUCUUUGGCCAUCCGAGUUGUAAUCUAGAGAAGUGUUAUCCGCGCUGGACCGUGUACAAGUCUCCUGGAAUGGAGCGUCAUAGAGGGUGAGAAUCCCGUCUUUGACACGGACUACCAGGGCUUUGUGAUGCGCUCUCAAAGAGUCGAGUUGUUUGGGAAUGCAGCUCAAAAUGGGUGGUAAAUUCCAUCUAAAGCUAAAUAUUGGCGAGAGACCGAUAGCGAACAAGUACCGUGAGGGAAAGAUGAAAAGAACUUUGGAAAGAGAGUUAAACAGUACGUGAAAUUGUUGAAAGGGAAACGCUUGAAGUCAGUCGCAUUGUUCAGGACUCAACCUUGCUUUUGCUGGGCGUACUUUCUGAACAAUGGGUCAGCAUCAGUUUUGACCAUUGGAUAAAAGCCAGAGGAAUGUGGCAUCUUCGGAUGUGUUAUAGCCUUUGGUUGCAUACAAUGGUUGGGAUUGAGGAACUCAGCACGCCGAAAGGCCGGGUUUUUAACCACGUUCGUGCUUAGGAUGCUGGCAUAAUGGCUUUAAUCGACCCGUC
rnacentral:rRNA from 1 species